GACGAACGCUGGCGGCGUGCUUAACACAUGCAGGUCGAACGGAAAGGCCCUGCUUUUGUGGGGUGCUCGAGUGGCGAACGGGUGAGUAACACGUGAGUAACCUGCCCUUGACUUUGGGAUAACUUCAGGAAACUGGGGCUAAUACCGGAUAGGAGCUCCUGCUGCAUGGUGGGGGUUGGAAAGUUUCGGCGGUUGGGGAUGGACUCGCGGCUUAUCAGCUUGUUGGUGGGGUAGUGGCUUACCAAGGCUUUGACGGGUAGCCGGCCUGAGAGGGUGACCGGCCACAUUGGGACUGCGAUACGGCCCAGACUCCUACGGGAGGCAGCAGUGGGGAAUAUUGCACAAUGGGCGGAAGCCUGAUGCAGCAACGCCGCGUGCGGGAUGACGGCCUUCGGGUUGUAAACCGCUUUCGCCUGUGACGAAGCGUGAGUGACGGUAAUGGGUAAAGAAGCACCGGCUAACUACGUG
rnacentral:rRNA from 1 species